AUUGAACGCUGGCGGCAGGCCUAACACAUGCAAGUCGAGCGGUAACACAGGGAGCUUGCUCCCGGGUGACAAGCGGCGGACGGGUGAGUAAUGUCUGGGAAACCGCCUGAUGGAGGGGGAUAACUACUGGAAACGGUAGCUAAUACCGCAUAAUGUCGCAAGACCAAAGAGGGGGAACUUCGGGCCGCUUGCAGUCAGAGGUGCCCAGAUGGGAUUAGCUAGUAGGCGGGGUAACGGCUCACCUAGGCGACGUUCCCUAGCUGGUCUGAGAGGAUGACCGGCCACACUGGAACUGAGACACGGUCCAGACUCCUACGGGAGGCAGCAGUGGGGAAUAUUGCACAAUGGGCGCAAGCCUGAUGCAGCCAUGCCGCGUGUAUGAAGAAGGCCUUCGGGUUGUAAAGUACUUUCAGCGGGGAGGAAGGUGUUGAGGUUAAUAACCUCAGCAAUUGACGUUACCCGCAGAAGAAGCACCGGCUAACUCCGUGCCAGCCGCCGCAGUAA
rnacentral:rRNA from 1 species